rnacentral:rRNA from 1 species
GAUGAACGCUGGCGGCGUGCCUAAUACAUGCAAGUCGAGCGAACAGACGAGGAGCUUGCUCCUCUGACGUUAGCGGCGGACGGGUGAGUAACACGUGGAUAACCUACCUAUAAGACUGGGAUAACUUCGGGAAACCGGAGCUAAUACCGGAUAAUAUAUUGAACCGCAUGGUUCAAUAGUGAAAGACGGUUUUGCUGUCACUUAUAGAUGGAUCCGCGCCGCAUUAGCUAGUUGGUAAGGUAACGGCUUACCAAGGCAACGAUGCGUAGCCGACCUGAGAGGGUGAUCGGCCACACUGGAACUGAGACACGGUCCGGACUCCUACGGGAGGCAGCAGUAGGGAAUCUUCCGCAAUGGGCGAAAGCUUGACGGAGCAACGCCGCGUGAGUGAUGAAGGUCUUCGGAUCGUAAAACUCUGUUAUUGGGGAAGAACAAAUGUGUAAGUAACUAUGCACGUCUUGACGGUACCUAAUCAGAAAGCCACGGCUAACUACGUG